rnacentral:lncRNA from 1 species
GAAGGAUCACUCACAUUGCUAUUAUAAGGCUUUCCUUUGUGAUUCCCUGGUUAUAGUCUAAUUAAAUAAACAAUGCACACGCGUUAGUAUAAUAACCCAUUUUAACAUUAGUAAUACCCUCCCCGAGACGGCAUUCCAACGACUACGUCGGGCAGAACCACGACAGCCGUUACGGAACCCUAGAUCAAUCGGGCAGAGUAUCUAAUACGUAUCCAGGGGUUAUGAUACGUACAACGAGGCAGAGCUUCGCUAAUUAGGGGGUAUAAUACCCGCGUAUCACUUCUACUACUUCAGAAUUCGUUUAGAAAGAAAAAGAAAUGAACGAGGAAUAUUGAAACCCGAUGCCUGCUUAUAUAGGUGCUGAUUCUGGUUCCCACGCGGCCCGCGUAAAGAAAGGACAGGGUGAGAGAUGGACGAAAGAAAGGAAACAGGUAUGA